GAGAGGUUUUUAAGGAGAAAGGGUAAGAGGACAGUGUGGUAAGUGGAGCGGAGAGGGAAGCAAAAAGGAAGGACGAUAGAGGGAAGGUAGCGAGGAGAAAGAGGGAAGAGAAAGGGAGAGCUUUGGAUGUCCCGAAUCAAAAGCAAGAGAAACCACAACAAUAGCAUCCCACAAGCAAAAGCUUUGGUGAGGGUGGGAAAGAAAGGAG
rnacentral:lncRNA from 1 species